rnacentral:lncRNA from 1 species
AGGUGAAACCCAGCUGUGCUUCGCAGGUGAGGUGCUGCAGCCCAGGCCCAGCUCAGGGGGAUUCUCCCUGGAGUGUGUCCUCCCUUUGCUACAUUUCCUGUGGAAAUUCACAUCCCUACGUUGGGAGAAUACACAGAGAUAUUAUUGAUCUUGUCUGAAAAGCUCAUUCACAAAUAUUUAGAAACUUGAAUGGUGCUUUGUCCAUUUCACUUCUAAAGCAGCACAGGAAAAAAAAAAAGAAAAAAAUCUUAAUUUUGCAAAUGGCUUGUAAAAACAUUCCUCUCGUUCUGUAUUCCUGUGCUCCUGUAUCGCUGCUCCUCUUUGUCCUUUGACUCGAGGAUUUACGGCUCCAUCCCCACUGGCCAUUGAUGCCCAGUGUUUCUUUAAGCCCAGUCUGAGCUCAGCCAAGUGCGACAGGGCUGGCACCGGCCCAGCCCGCGCAUCCAGGCUCUUCAAUGGCCACCAGAUAUCAAAUGCAUGGGAAAAAUUAAACCUUUUAUCUUGAUUGUGUUUCAGUGGCGGGGAAAUGAAAAGGGCAUUUGUGCAGUGCUGACCCCAGCAGAGCGCCCGGGGCUCUGAACAAGGAUUUGCAAAGCCAAGGAAGGAGAGAAAGAUGCAUCUCUCCAAAUAAAUUUUGAUAAGAACUGCAAACCAGAUGUUAAGCCAAUCAUAGAGGAAAACAAUUAAAGAGUAUUUUCAGCUUUUGGAGACCCUUGCCAAUUUGGCUUUGCAGACAGCGAAUUAGAAAAACCUCAGGCAUGGACUGGAUGACAGCACCGGGCCCCCAGACCUUCCUCUAUCCCAGGAACUUGCUGGGAAAUGCUGCAAAAGUCUGGAUCCAACCUGCCCAGCUCGGAACUGGAGAGGUGUGGGACAGCAACAACUGACUUUGAAUCAGCAUCGAUGGCACCAUCUGAAAUCUCCAAAGCCCUCCACAGCCUGCUGGAUCCAAAUAAAUGUGUUGCAGAAAGGCGCUGCUCUUUUUUCUGAUUGCUGUCAAACACAGAAUCUGACAGACACAAACAAGAAAAAGUAAUUUAAAAAAACCCAAAUACUAGACAUGAAAAAAAAUCCCAGCCAGACAAAAUCAAAACAAAAACCUGAAGGAAAUCCCGAACUAAUCUGCAAAAACCUGGAACAGUGCAAGGUUUCAGGAUGUGCUCUGCAAAGUGCAGUUUUCAAUAUGAUUAAG